GGUCCCCGCUCGCAGCCUCUGCACACAGGGCUCGGCAUGGGCCAGACGGCUUCCUUAGCAUCAGACCCCUGACAGCGAGCAGCACUGUCCCUCUCCCUGGACAACAGCAUUGAACUUGCCUGGUGCUUGGUGCUCAGAGACAAACCUGGAUUGUUUCCCCAAGACUGAGGAUAGAUUUCUAGCCUCCCCAAAGCCAGGGACACCUCUCAGAGGCCCCUGACGGGGUCAAGUGCUGGGCCAGCCUUUCCUGCCUCCUGAAAACCACCAACCACUUGUGUCCCAAGGAAGGGACAGAGCCCUGCCAGGGGGCCAGAAAGCUGGUGCUGGCCACCCGGAGGCCUCCUAUGCCAAAGCCCCAAAGAAGCAAGACACCCACCGACUCAUGGCGCUCACACCUGAGCUCCCUUGAGUCCUCAGUUCACGCGAGGAAGACAUGUUGUAACGGGCUCAAUUGCGCAGCAGUGUGGCUCCUGGAGGGCAGAUCGGAAACUGGGGCCCGGGGGAGAAGGGGCUUGUCCAGGCCGAGUCCGUAGAAGGGCCCAGUCUUCUGACCACAGCAAAGAGCCCCUAACCCCUUAUGGCCCAGGAGGAGCUGCUGCAGUACAGGCUGCUGCCUGAGUCACCUUUACGCAACACCCAGAACAGUGCGGGUCCCUGACACGUCCCAGGACGCAUCUCCAUUUUUGCAAGUGAGGGCACCGGCCCCAAACCACGCGCAAGUGAUUACCCAUAGCUCGGUCACCAUUCCUGAUUUCCUUGAACCUUCGCCACACCUUGUUACAGGCCAGCGGGCAGGCCCGUGGGGGGGGGGGGGGGG